UUAACACAUGCAAGUCGAACGCCCCGCAAGGGGAGUGGCAGACGGGUGAGUAACGCGUGGGAAUCUACCUAGUUCUACGGAACAACAGUUGGAAACGACUGCUAAUACCAUAUACGCCCUAUGGGGGAAAGAUUUAUCGGAAUUAGAUGAGCCCGCGUAAGAUUAGCUAGUUGGUGGGGUAAUGGCCUACCAAGGCGACGAUCUUUAGCUGGUCUGAGAGGAUGAUCAGCCACACUGGGACUGAGACACGGCCCAGACUCCUACGGGAGGCAGCAGUGGGGAAUAUUGGACAAUGGGCGCAAGCCUGAUCCAGCCAUGCCGCGUGAGUGAUGAAGGCCUUAGGGUUGUAAAGCUCUUUCAGUGGGGAAGAUAAUGACGGUACCCACAGAAGAAGCCCCGGCUAACUUCGUGCCAGCAGCCGCGGUAAUACGAAGGGGGCUAGCGUUGUUCGGAUUUACUGGGCGUAAAGCGCACGUAGGCGGAUUGUUAAGUCAGGGGUGAAAUCCUGGAGCUCAACUCCAGAACUGCCUUUGAUACUGGCAAUCUCGAGUCCGGAAGAGGUAAGUAGAACUCCUAGUGUAGAGGUGGAAUUCGUAGAUAUUAGGAAGAACACCAGUGGCGAAGGCGGCUUACUGGUCCGGAACUGACGCUGAGGUGCGAA
rnacentral:rRNA from 1 species